rnacentral:rRNA from 1 species
AUUGGACGCUGGCGGCAGGCCUAACACAUGCAAGUCGAACGGUAACAGGAAGAGGCUUGCUUCUUUGCUGACGAGUGGCGGACGGGUGAGUAAUGUCUGGGAAACCGCUUGAUGGAGGGGGAUAACUACUGGAAACGGUAGCUAAUACCGCAUAACGUCGCAAGCCCUAAGAGGAGGACCUUCGGGCCUCUUGCCAUCGGAUGGGCCCAGAUGGGGUUAGCUAGGAGGUGGGGUAACGGCUCACCUAGGGGUCGCUCCCUAGCUCGUCUGAGCGGAUGAACACCCACCCUAGAACUGGGCCACGGUCCAGACUCCUACGGGAGGCACCAGAGUGCAAUAUUGGACAGUGGUGGCAAGCCUGAUGCAGCCAGGCCGAGUGUAUGACGAAGACCUUGGGGUUGUAAAGUACUUUCAGCGGGGAGGAAGGGAGUAAAGUUAAUACCUUGGCUCAUUGACGUUACCCGCAGAAGAAGCACCGGCUAACUCCGUG